UACGUAGGGGGCUAGCGUUGUCCGGAUUUAUUGGGCGUAAAGAGCGUGUAGGCGGCCAUGUAGGUCCGGUGUGAAAACUCGAGGCUUAACCUCGAGAUGUCAUCGGAAACCAUUUGGCUAGAGUCCGGAAGAGGCGAGUGGAAUUCCCGGUGUAGCGGUGAAAUGCGCAGAUAUCGGGAGGAACACCAAUGGCGAAGGCAGCUCGCUGGGACGGUACUGACGCUGAGACGCGAAAGCGUGGGGAGCGAACAGG
rnacentral:rRNA from 1 species